rnacentral:lncRNA from 1 species
AUGGGCUUUAAAUUCAUAUACAAGUUUACACAAAAUGUUUUGCACUCAUUUAUGGUAUUUUUUUGCAGGGGAUGGGAACAUUGCAACAUAUGUAUCCUUCUGGAGAGGAAAAGCAUUACCUAUCAGUCUGAAGAGGAGCACUGUUUAAGGAGCUGAGCCCUUUCAACUCACUGGGAAGAGGCUGGUGCUUGAGAUCUGAAGGUCAUGAAUUCUAUCACACUGGCAGGUUUCAUGGAUGUGGUUAGCAGAUGACUAUGAUGCCUGUAUUCUUUGUAUAUAGGGUCACAGAUCAUUAAACAUCACUUCCAUUAACAUCUGCUUCUGUCUUUCAACAAUAAUGUAUGUGAGCCAAUGGAAUGUCUUAGGAGGGGAAAAGUAACACAUUUAUUGGCCCUGCUUUGCAGGCAUAUUUGCACACAUAUACUCAGAAGUUAUUAAUGGCUAUAUGUUAUAUAAUCAUAACAGGAAAGAUUUUUCCCUUGUAUGCUAUAUAAGAAAUAUGACUGAAUAAAAAAUUCAAAACCCUCUUUCUCGAGAUCCUG